GAUAAACGCUGGCGGCGUGCCUAAAACAUGCAAGUCGAACGGAUGGCUUCGGCCAGUCAGUGGGCGAACGGCUGAGUAACGCGUGGGUGACCUUCCUUUGAGUGGGGAAUAACUGCCCGAAGGGUAGCGUAAUACCGCGAUGUGGUUAUCGGAGUAUACCGGUAACUAAAGUCGCAAGACGCUCGAAGCUGGGCCCGCGUCCGAUUAGCUUGUUGGUGGGGUAAUGGCCUACCAAGGCGACGANCGGUAGCUGGUCUAAGAGGAUGAUCAGCCAGACUGGGACUGCGACACGGCCCAGACU
rnacentral:rRNA from 1 species